GUCACAAAUGUUCUUGAAGGGGAAGGACUAAAGUGACAUUCAAGAGGUAUUUGGCAGUUUUCUACUACUUGCCAUAACUUCUGCACAAACAUCCAGUUAUAAUUUUACUCAUGGAUAAGAAUGUAGAUUUACAAACAAAAGAACAGCUGCUUAUCAUAAUUAUAAUCUCUUGGACACUCCUGCUCUUGCUUGUGAUAAUAUUACUGAUAAAAGUAUGCGUUGGCUUAUUCUUUUCGUUUCGUGGAAGCCAGAUUCCUACCUGCUUUCUCUAAAUAGAAUCAACUAAUUUGGAAACGUUCUAAAUGACAAGGCACACAGGAAAACAAGGAUGAUAUCUGAAUAAAACGAUCUCACCAUCA